GACAGAGGUGCCAAGCGUUAGGCGGAAUCACUGGGCUUAAAGCGUGUGUAGGCGGAUUUCUAAGUACCUUGUGAAAUCCCACGGCUCAACCGUGGAACUGCUUGGUAUACUGGAUAUCUUGAGCCACUCAGGGGCGAGCGGAACAAAUGGUGGAGCGGUGAAAUGCGCAGAUAUCAUUUGGAACACCAAAGGUGAAAACAGCUCGCUGGGGGUGUGGCUGACG
rnacentral:rRNA from 1 species